rnacentral:rRNA from 1 species
AGAGUUUGAUCAUGGCUCAGGAUGAACGCUAGCUACAGGCUUAACACAUGCAAGUCGAGGGGCAGCAUGGUCUUAGCUUGCUAAGACUGAUGGCGACCGGCGCACGGGUGAGUAACACGUAUCCAACCUGCCGUCUACUCUUGGACAGCCUUCUGAAAGGAAGAUUAAUACAAGAUGGCAUCAUGAGUCCGCAUGUUCACAUGAUUAAAGGUAUUCCGGUAGACGAUGGGGAUGCGUUCCAUUAGAUAGUAGGCGGGGUAACGGCCCACCAAGGCAACGAUCAGUAGGGGUUCUGAGAGGAAGGUCCCCCACAUUGGAACUGAGACACGGUCCAAACUCCUACGGGAGGCAGCA